rnacentral:rRNA from 1 species
AGAGUUUGAUCAUGGCUCAGAACGAACGCUGGCGGCGCGCCUAAUACAUGCAAGUCGAACGAGAAUGUGUAGCAAUACACAUGUACAGUGGCGAACGGGUGAGGACUACAUGGGUAACCUACCCUCGAGUGGGGAAUAACUAGCCGAAAGGUUAGCUAAUACCGCGUACGCUUCCCGGACUGCGGUUCGGGAAGGAAAGCGAUACCGUGGGUAUCGCGCUCUUGGAUGGGCUCAUGCCCUAUCAGCUUGUUGGUGAGGUAACGGCCCACCAAGGCUUCGACGGGUAGCUGAUCUGAGAGGAUGAUCAGCCACACUGGCACUGCGACACGGGCCAGACUCCUACGGGAGGCAGCAGUAAGGAAUAUUGCGCAAUGGGCGAAAGCCUGACGCAGCGACGCCGCGUGGGGGAUGAAGGUCUUCGGAUUGUAAACCCCUUUCGGGAGGGAAGAUGGGAUGGGGUAACCCAUUCGGACGGUACCUCCAGAAGCAGCCACGGCUAACUUCGUGCCAGCAGCCGCGGUAAUAC